GCCGGUAUAGCUCAGACGGUAGAGCAACUGAUUUGUAAUCAGUAGGUCCGGGGUUCAAAUCCUCGUUGCGGCACCA
rnacentral:tRNA from 1 species